rnacentral:rRNA from 1 species
AUUGAACGCUGGCGGCAUGCUUUACACAUGCAAGUCGAACGGCAGCGCGGGCUUCGGCCUGGCGGCGAGUGGCGAACGGGUGAGUAAUACAUCGGAACGUGCCCAGUAGUGGGGGAUAGCUCGGCGAAAGCCGGAUUAAUACCGCAUACGACCUGAGGGUGAAAGCGGGGGAUCUUCGGACCUCGCGCUAUUGGAGCGGCCGAUGGCAGAUUAGCUAGUUGGUGGGGUAAAGGCCUACCAAGGCGACGAUCUGUAGCUGGUCUGAGAGGACGACCAGCCACACUGGGACUGAGACACGGCCCAGACUCCUACGGGAGGCAACAGUGGGGAAUUUUGGACAAUGGGCGAAAGCCUGAUCCAGCAAUGCCGCGUGUGUGAUGAAGGCCUUCGGGUUGUAAAGCACUUUUGGCGGGAACGAAAGGGACUGUGCCAAUACCACGGUUCGAUGACGGACCCGCAGAAUAAGCACCGCA